GAUGAACGCUGGCGGCGUGCCUAAUACAUGCAAGUCGAGCGAACGGACGAGAAGAUUGCUUUUCUGAUGUUAGCGGCGGACGGGUGAGUAACACGUGGAUAACCUACCUAUAAGACUGGGAUAACUUCGGGAAACCGGAGCUAAUACCGGAUAAUAUUUUGAACCGCAUGGUUCAAAAGUGAAAGACGGUCUUGCUGUCACUUAUAGAUGGAUCCGCGCUGCAUUAGCUAGUUGGUAAGGUAACGGCUUACCAAGGCAACGAUGCAUAGCCGACCUGAGAGGGUGAUCGGCCACACUGGAACUGAGACACGGUCCAGACUCCUACGGGAGGCAGCAGUAGGGAAUCUUCCGCAAUGGGCGAAAGCCUGACGGAGCAACGCCGCGUGAGUGAUGAAGGUCUUCGGGUCGUAAAACUCUGUUAUUAGGGAAGAACAUAUGUGUAAGUAACUGUGCACAUCUUGACGGUACCUAAUCAGAGAGCCACGGCUAACUACGUG
rnacentral:rRNA from 1 species